CGCUAGCGGCAGGCCUAACACAUGCAAGUCGAGGGGCAGCGGGGAUAAGCUUGCUUAUCCGCCGGCGACCGGCGCACGGGUGCGGAACGCGUAUGGAACCUGCCCCUGUCAGGGGAAUAGCCCAGGGAAACUUGGAUUAAUGCCCCAUGGUACCGCGAUAUCGCAUGAUAUUGUGGUUAAAGAUUUAUCGGACAGGGAUGGCCAUGCGUACCAUUAGCUAGUUGGUAAGGUAACGGCUUACCAAGGCAACGAUGGUUAGGGGCCCUGAGAGGGGGAUCCCCCACACUGGUACUGAGACACGGACCAGACUCCUACGGGAGGCAGCAGUGAGGAAUAUUGGACAAUGGUCGGAAGACUGAUCCAGCCAUGCCGCGUGCAGGAUGACGGCCCUAUGGGUUGUAAACUGCUUUUAUACGGGAAGAAACCCGCCUACGUGUAGGCGGCUGACUGUACCGUAAGAAUAAGGACCGGCUAACUCCGUGCCAGCAGCCGCGGUAAUACGGAGGGUCCGAGCGUUAUCCGGAAUCAUUGGGUUUAAAGGGUCCGUAGGCGGGCCUGUAAGUCAGGGGUGAAAGUUUGUGGCUCAACCAUAAAAUUGCCUUUGAUACUGCAGGUCUUGAGUCAUGGUGGGGUUGCCGGAACAUGUGGUGUAGCGGUGAAAUGCAUAGAUAUCACAUAGAACACCGAUCGCGAAGGCAGGUGACCAACCAUGUACUGACGCUGAUGGACGAAAGCGUGGGUAGCGAACGGGAUUAGAUACCCCGGUAGUCCACGCCGUAAACGAUGGAUACUAGCUGUGGGGACUUCGGUCUCCGUGGCCAAGCGAAAGUGAUAAGUAUCCCACCUGGGGAGUACGUCGCAAGAAUAAGCG
rnacentral:rRNA from 1 species